UAAAGAGACGCUCUCCGUUUCCCCCACUGCACUUAACAAGCCAGAGAUUGGCUUGGAAUGCUGGCUUGUGCUGGCUGCGCGGCCUUCUCCCAGGACACCCCAAAGGAAAAGAGCCUUAGCCAGGAUGGAUGGAGGGAAGCCAUGAUGACACAGAAGCCAGCAUGGGAAAGAAGGAUGAGAAAACGACUUCUGCAGACACCACUUUGAGAGCUGAGAGCUGAGCCCCCAAAAUACAGCCAUGGAAGAACAUUUUCUACCCGAAACCAGGAGGGCAGCAUCUUCUCAGCAAGGAGUUUGCAGAUCCCAGCUCUCCGCUCGUCCGAGUCUUAAAUCUUUGCCCCAAUCUUACGGCGAUGCUUAUCAAGAAUACAGCGGAUUCUCCAGAAGGGACCAACUCAGAAGGAGAACAUCAAGGCUGGAAGGCUUUUUGGACUGAAGGAGUGGGUGGGAUUUUCUUGGACCCCUGUCAGAAAAUCCAUUUUUGUGGUUUUUUUUUGCUGGAUUUAGCAAAGAUACGAGCAGUUUUUGUUUCUUUCCCAUUCUUUAGCAUGUCUGGUAAACCCAGGGGUUGAAAUUAAAAUGUCAGGAUUAAGCUUUCGUCCUUCAUUUCCGUUUUCCUCCCUCUCUUCCUCCCUUCCCAUUUCCUUCCUUCCUUUCCUAUUUUCCUUCUUCCCUUCCUUCC